rnacentral:SRP_RNA from 1 species
UGUUGGUUCUCCCGCAACGCUACUCUGUUUACCGUGUCAGGUCCGGAAGGAAGCAGCCAGAGCAGACGACGUGUGUGGAUGUAGCUGGCAGGG